UAGGGAAUCUUCCACAAUGGGCGAAAGCCUGAUGGAGCAACGCCGCGUGUGUGAUGAAGGGUUUCGGCUCGUAAAACACUGUUGUAAGAGAAGAAUGACAUUGAGAGUAACUGUUCAAUGUGUGACGGUAUCCUACCAGAAAGGAACGGCUAAAUACGUGCUAG
rnacentral:rRNA from 1 species